UGUACUCUAUACCUUUACCCU
rnacentral:piRNA from 1 species